UAGGAGGGAAACUAAGAAAUAGAGGGAGGAAAGAAAAAUGUUUUAUUUGGAAGGUAAGGGGAUGAAAACUGUGAGCGCCCAAGCCGACUGGCAUAAGUGCGUAGGUGAUUCUUUUUGCCGAGUGGAGCAAACAUG
ensembl:ncRNA D1053.7 ncRNA